AAAUUGAAGAGUUUGAUCAUGGCUCAGAUUGAACGCUGGCGGCAGGCCUAACACAUGCAAGUCGAACGGUAACAGGAAGCAGCUUGCUGCUUUGCUGACGAGUGGCGGACGGGUGAGUAAUGUCUGGGAAACUGCCUGAUGGAGGGGGAUAACUACUGGAAACGGUGGCUAAUACCGCAUAACGUCGCAAGACCAAAGAGGGGGACCUUCGGGCCUCUUGCCAUCAGAUG
rnacentral:rRNA from 6 species